rnacentral:rRNA from 1 species
AUUGAACGCUGGCGGCAGGCCUAACACAUGCAAGUCGAACGGUAGCACAGGAGAGCUUGCUCUCUGGGUGACGAGUGGCGGACGGGUGAGUAAGGCAUGGGGAGCUGCCCAAUCGAGGGGGAUACCAGCUGGAAACGGCUGCUAAUACCGCAUACGCCCUGAGGGGGGAAAGGUGGGGACCUUCGGGCCUACCGCGAUCGGAUGCGCACAUGUGGGAUUAGCUAGUUGGUGAGGUAACGGCUCACCAAGGCGACGAUCUCUAGCUGGUCUGAGAGGAUGACCAGCCACACUGGAACUGAGACACGGUCCAGACUCCUACGGGAGGCAGCAGUGGGGAAUAUUGCACAAUGGGGGAAACCCUGAUGCAGCCAUGCCGCGUGUGUGGAGAAGGCCUUCGGGUUGUAAAGCACUUUCAGUGGGGAGGAAGGGGCGAUGACUAAUAUUCAUCGUCAUUGACGUUACCCACAGAAGAAGCACCGGCUAACUCCGUGCCAGCCGCCGCAGUAACAC